rnacentral:ncRNA from 1 species
GAUUUUUGAAGGAUAAGAUUAAGACCUUAAUUCAUUUAUC